rnacentral:rRNA from 1 species
UUUGACCUCAAAUCAGGUAGGAUUACCCGCUGAACUUAAGCAUAUCAAUA